CUGCUCUUCUACAACAGAUUCCCAAGGUGGAGGACAGAGGACACUGAGGUUAUUCAGGGACGGCAGCCAAAACUACUGUGAUUAUGGAACGAAUGGCAACAACAAGGUCUCAUCCUACAUCUGCUAACUUCUUCCCAUAAAUGAAUCCAGUCUUCCUGCCCAUACUUUCUCUUCUUGUUAAAUAGGUGUUGAGUGAGGGCUAAGAAGGGGACAAAGAAUAACGAAGGCGAUAAACAGGAGAUGGCAUACUUCCUACUCUCUAAAAAAGUCUACAGAAGAAGUGUUGAUUUGCUAUCAGAAGGUGACCAGAGAGUGAGAAGAGAAAGAAGUGAAAUUGGAAAGAAAGAAAAUAGUAUGUGAAAUUGUAUGUGAUGCAGUGGCCAACCUGAGCAGCAGGACAGGAC
rnacentral:lncRNA from 1 species